rnacentral:rRNA from 1 species
GGUUAAGUUAGAAAGGGCGCACGGUGGAUGCCUUGGCACUAGGAGCCGAAGAAGGACGGGACUAACACCGAUAUGCUUUGGGGAGCUGUACGUAAGCGUUGAUCCAGAGAUUUCCGAAUGGGGGAACCCACUAUCUUUAGUCGGAUAGUAUCCUUACGUGAAUACAUAGCGUGAGGAAGGCAGACCCAGGGAACUGAAACAUCUAAGUACCUGGAGGAAGAGAAAGAAAAAUCGAUUUCCUGAGUAGCGGCGAGCGAAACGGAAAGAGCCCAAACCAAGAAGCUUGCUUCUUGGGGUUGUAGGACACUCUAUACGGAGUUACAAAAGAAAGUUAUAAAUGAAGCGGUCUGGAAAGGCCCGCCAAAGACGGUAACAGCCCGGUAGUUGAAAUAGCUUUCCCUCCAGAGUGGAUCCUGAGUACGGCGGAACACGUGAAAUUCCGUCGGAAUCCGGGAGGACCAUCUCCCAAGGCUAAAUACUCCCUAGUGACCGAUAGUGAACCAGUACCGUGAGGGAAAGGUGAAAAGCACCCCGGAAGGGGAGUGAAACAGUUCCUGAAACCGUGUGCCUACAAGUAGUUAGAGCCCGUUAAUGGGUGAUAGCGUGCCUUUUGUAGAAUGAACCGGCGAGUUACGAUUUGUUGCAAGGUUAAGCGGAAAAAGCGGAGCCGUAGCGAAAGCGAGUCUGAAUAGGGCGCAUAAGUAACAGGUCGUAGACCCGAAACCAGGUGAUCUACCCAUGUCCAGGAUGAAGGUAAGGUAAUACUUACUGGAGGUCCGAACCCACGCACGUUGAAAAGUGCGGGGAUGAGGUGUGGGUAGCGGAGAAAUUCCAAUCGAACUUGGAGAUAGCUGGUUCUCUCCGAAAUAGCUUUAGGGCUAGCCUCGAGGUAAAGAGUCAUGGAGGUAGAGCACUGUUUGGACUAGGGGCCCUUCUCGGGUUACCGAAUUCAGAUAAACUCCGAAUGCCAUGUACUUAUACUCGGGAGUCAGACUGCGAGUGAUAAGAUCCGUAGUCGAAAGGGAAACAGCCCAGACCACCAGUUAAGGUCCCCAAAUAUAUGUUAAGUGGAAAAGGAUGUGGGGUUGCUUAGACAACCAGGAUGUUGGCUUAGAAGCAGCCACCAUUGAAAGAGUGCGUAAUAGCUCACUGGUCGAGUGACCCCGCGCCGAAAAUGUACCGGGGCUAAACAUAUUACCGAAACUGUGGAUGAACCUCUUUAGAGGUUCGUGGUAGGAGAGCGUUCUAAGGGCGGUGAAGUCAGACCGGAAGGACUGGUGGAGCGCUUAGAAGUGAGAAUGCCGGUAUGAGUAGCGAAAGAAGGGUGAGAAUCCCUUCCACCGAAUAUCUAAGGUUUCCUGAGGAAGGCUCGUCCGCUCAGGGUUAGUCGGGACCUAAGCCGAGGCCGAUAGGCGUAGGCGAUGGACAACAGGUAGAGAUUCCUGUACCAGUGCUAAUUGUUUAACCGAUGGGGUGACACAGAAGGAUAGGGAAUCGCACGAAUGGAAAUGUGCGUCCAAGCAGUGAGUGUGAGAAGUAGGCAAAUCCGCUUCUCGCGAAGCAUGAGCUGUGAUGGGGAAGGAAAUUAAGUACGGAAGUUCCUGAUUUCACGCUGUCAAGAAAAGCCUCUAGGAAGAGUAGUACUGCCCGUACCGCAAACCGACACAGGUAGAUGAGGAGAGAAUCCUAAGGUGAGCGAGAGAACUCUCGUUAAGGAACUCGGCAAAAUGACCCCGUAACUUCGGGAGAAGGGGUGCUCUAUUAGGGUGCAAGCCCGAGAGAGCCGCAGUGAAUAGGCCCAGGCGACUGUUUAGCAAAAACACAGGUCUCUGCAAAACCGUAAGGUGACGUAUAGGGGCUGACGCCUGCCCGGUGCUGGAAGGUUAAGAGGAGUGCUUAGCUUCGGCGAAGGUACGAAUUGAAGCCCCAGUAAACGGCGGCCGUAACUAUAACGGUCCUAAGGUAGCGAAAUUCCUUGUCGGGUAAGUUCCGACCCGCACGAAAGGCGCAACGAUCUGGGCACUGUCUCAACGAGAGACUCGGUGAAAUUAUAGUACCUGUGAAGAUGCAGGUUACCCGCGACAGGACGGAAAGACCCCGUGGAGCUUUACUGCAACCUGAUAUGGAAUGUUUGUACCGCUUGUACAGGAUAGGUAGGAGCCGAAGAGACGUGUGCGCUAGCAUACGAGGAGGCAAUGGUGGGAUACUACCCUGGCUGUAUGACCAUUCUAACCCGCCACGCUUAGCGCGUGGGGAGACAGUGUCAGGUGGGCAGUUUGACUGGGGCGGUCGCCUCCUAAAGAGUAACGGAGGCGCCCAAAGGUUCCCUCAGAAUGGAUGGAAAUCAUUCGCAGAGUGUAAAGGCACAAGGGAGCUUGACUGCGAGACUGACAAGUCGAGCAGGGACGAAAGUCGGGCUUAGUGAUCCGGUGGUUCCGCAUGGA